GGUGGUUCUCGGUUGAGCACCCCAGAAUAGGGUUCCCUCCUCUCUGGUUCCGGUGUAUCACCCAAGAACCGCA
rfam:Myotis lucifugus cont2.39149, whole genome shotgun sequence.